GUUACAACUUAUACAUCAAGUCUUAUUUGAACAUUAGCCUAGUGUAUAAUUACCUGUUAAUGCUCUCAACACCAAGUGGCUUGUGGGGUCUUUUCCUCAACUAAACUCGUCAAAAACAGACUGUAAAACAUCCCAAAUCAAGGAAGCUUAAAAGCACUUAUCUCAAUGGGCAAAGAAUUGUGUAUGUAUAUAUAUGAGUUUUUACAUAAUUUUCCACCUAGCAUUUUGGAUCAAAUAAAAUAAGAAAAUUUUAAAAACAAGAAAUUUAUCCUUGCUUCAAAGAAGGUUUCGAAGAGCACAGAGCCACUUCUUCAGGAUGGAGACAGCAAGAAGUUACAAAGAAGCAAGCAGCGUGAAAAAAUGCAAGAGAGAAUCUUCAGUCUCCUAAGGCAGGUCUUUCAGAAAGGCUUGAAGAAAAUAUUAGCUAAACCCUUGAAAUCUGGGAGACAGACAAAGGAACCCAAACGUGAAGAGCAUUCAUUAAAAGAUGUAAAUAGCCAAGAUCCGUGC